GUGGCGAACGGGUGAGUAACACGUGAGUAACCUGCCCUUGACUCUGGGAUAAGCGUUGGAAACGACGUCUAAUACCGGAUACGAGCUGGGACCGCAUGGUCACCAGCUGGAAAGAACUUCGGUCAAGGAUGGACUCGCGGCCUAUCAGCUAGUUGGUGAGGUAACGGCUCACCAAGGCGACGACGGGUAGCCGGCCUGAGAGGGUGACCGGCCACACUGGGACUGAGACACGGCCCAUACUCCUACGGGAGGCAGCAGUGGGGAAUAUUGCACAAUGGGCGCAAGCCUGAUGCAGCAACGCCGCGUGAGGGACGACGGCCUUCGGGUUGUAAACCUCUUUUAGCAGGGAAGAAGCGAAAGUGACGGUACCUGCAGAAAAAGCACCGGCUAACUACGUGCCAGCAGCCGCGGUAAUACGUAGGGUGCAAGCGUUGUCCGGAAUUAUUGGGCGUAAAGAGCUCGUAGGCGGUCUGUCGCGUCUGCUGUGAAAACCCGAGGCUCAACCUCGGGCCUGCAGUGGGUACGGGCAGACUAGAGUGCGGUAGGGGAGAUUGGAAUUCCUGGUGUAGCGGUGGAAUGCGCAGAUAUCAGGAGGAACACCGAUGGCGAAGGCAGAUCUCUGGGCCGUAACUGACGCUGAGGAGCGAAAGCGUGGGGAGCGAACAGGAUUAGAUACCCUGGUAGUCCAC
rnacentral:rRNA from 1 species